CCUACGGGAGGCAGCAGUGGGGAAUUUUGGACAAUGGGCGAAAGCCUGAUCCAGCCAUGCCGCGUGCAGGAUGAAGGCCUUCGGGUUGUAAACUGCUUUUGUACGGAACGAAAAGGUCUUUUCUAAUAAAGAAGGCUCAUGACGGUACCGUAAGAAUAAGCACCGGCUAACUACGUGCCAGCAGCCGCGGUAAUACGUAGGGUGCGAGCGUUAAUCGGAAUUACUGGGCGUAAAGCGUGCGCAGGCGGUUAUAUAAGACAGUUGUGAAAUCCCCGGGCUCAACCUGGGAACUGCAUCUGUGACUGUAUAGCUAGAGUACGGUAGAGGGGGAUGGAAUUCCGCGUGUAGCAGUGAAAUGCGUAGAUAUGCGGAGGAACACCGAUGGCGAAGGCAAUCCCCUGGACCUGUACUGACGCUCAUGCACGAAAGCGUGGGGAGCAAACAGGAUUAGAUACCCUGGUAGUCCACGCCCUAAACGAUGUCAACUGGUUGUUGGGUCUUCACUGACUCAGUAACGAAGCUAACGCGUGAAGUUGACCGCUGGGAGUACGGCCGCAAGGUUGAAACGUCAAAGAAUUGACGG
rnacentral:rRNA from 1 species